rnacentral:rRNA from 1 species
UUAGAGUUUGAUCCUGGCUCAGGAUGAACGCUAGCGGCAGGCUUAACACAUGCAAGUCGAGGGGCAGCGCGGGGCGGCAACGUCCUGGCGGCGACCGGCGGAAGGGUGCGUAACGCGUGAGCGACAUGCCCGUUGCCCGGGGACAACCGGUGGAAACGCCGACUAAUCCCCGAUGGGAUAUUGUGCCGCAUGGCACGAUAUUGAAAGUUACGACGGCGACGGAUUGGCUCGCGUCCGAUUAGCUUGUUGGCGGGGUAACGGCCCACCAAGGCUACGAUCGGUAAGGGUUCUGAGAGGAAGGCCCCCCACAAUGGGACUGAGACACGGCCCAUACUCCUACGGGAGGCAGCAGUGAGGAAUAUUGGUCAAUGGGCGGAAGCCUGAACCAGCCAUGCCGCGUGCGGGAAGGAGGCCCUAUGGGCUGUGAACCGCUUUUGCCUGGGGGCAAUAAGGGCGUCGCGCACGUCCGAUGAGAGUACCAGGCGAAUAAGCAUCGGCUAACUCCGUGCCAGCAGCCGCGGUAAUACGGGGGAUGCGAGCGUUAUCCGGAUUCAUUGGGUUUAAAGGGUGGCGUAGGCUGUGCGUCAAGUCGGGGGUGAAAUUCCGGUGCUCAACACCGGGGCUGCCCUUGAUACUGUCGCGCUGGAGUGCGGAUGCCGCCGGAGGAAUGAGUGGUGUAGCGGUGAAAUGCUUAGAUAUCACUCAGAACACCGAUUGCGAAGGCAUCUGGCGAAUCCGUAACUGACGCUGAGGCACGAAAGCGUGGGGAUAGAACAGGAUUAGAUACCCUGGUAUUCCACGCCGUAAACGAU